rfam:Ruminococcus sp. CAG:579 genomic scaffold, scf318
GCCUUAUCAAGAGCGGCGGAGGAACAGGUCCUGUGAAGCCCGGCAACCUAACGGUAAAACAGCCGAAAAGGUGCUAAUUCCUGCGGAUAACAGUCCGGAAGAUGAGGA